GACGAACGCUGGCGGCGUGCUUAACACAUGCAAGUCGAACGGACAGACAGAGAGCUUGCUCUCUUGAAGUUAGUGGCGAACGGGUGAGUAACGCGUAAUCAACCUGCCCUUCAGAGGGGGAUAACAACGGGAAACCGUUGCUAAUACCGCGUACGAUUCAUGAACGGCAUCGUUUAUGAAUGAAAGGUGGCCUCUAUGUAUAAGCUAUCGCUGAAGGAGGGGAUUGCGUCUGAUUAGCUAGUUGGAGGGGUAACGGCCCACCAAGGCAAUGACAAGGAGCCGGUCUGAGAGGAUGAACGGCCACAUUGGGACUGAGACACGGCCCAAACUCCUACGGGAGGCAGCAGUGGGGAAUCUUCCGCAAUGGACGAAAGUCUGACGGAGCAACGCCGCGUGAGUGAUGAAGGUCUUCGGAUUGUAAAGCUCUGUUAAUCGGGACGAAAGAGUUCUGCGUGAAUAAUGCAGAAAAGUGACGGUACCGGAAUAGAAAGCCACGGCUAACUACGUGCCAGCCGCCGCGGUAA
rnacentral:rRNA from 1 species